GAUGAACGCUGGCGGCGUGCCUAAUACAUGCAAGUCGAGCGAACAGAUGAGGAGCUUGCUCCUCUGACGUUAGCGGCGGGCGGGUGAUUAACACGUGGAUAACCUACCUAUAAGACUGGGAUAACUUCGGGAAACCGGAGCUAAUACCGGGUAAUAUAUUUAACCGCAUGGUUCAAUAGUGAAAGACGGUUUUGCUGUCACUUAUAGAUGGAUCCGCGCCGCAUUAGCUAGUUGGUAAGGUAACGGCUUACCAAGGCAACGAUGCGUAGCCGACCUGAGAGGGUGAUCGGCCACACUGGAACUGAGACACGGUCCCGACUCCUACGGGAGGCAGCAGUAGGGAAUCUUCCGCAAUGGGCGAAAGCCUGACGGAGCAACGCCGCGUGAGUGAUGAAGGUCUUCGGAUCGUAAAACUCUGUUAUUAGGGAAGAACAAAUGUGUAAGUAACUAUGCACGUCUUGACGGUACCUAAUCAGAAAGCCACGGCUAACUACGUG
rnacentral:rRNA from 1 species